AGCGAACGCUGGCGGCAGGCCUAACACAUGCAAGUCGAGCGCCCCGCAAGGGAGCGGCAGACGGGAGAGUAACACGUGGGAACGUACCCUUCAGUUCGGAACAACCCAGGGAAACUUGGGCUAAUACCGAAUACGUCCGUAAGGAGAAAGAUUUAUCGCUGAAGGAUCGGCCCGCGUCUGAUUAGCUAGUUGGUGAGGUAACGGCUCACCAAGGCGACGAUCAGUAGCUGGUCNGAGAGGAUGA
rnacentral:rRNA from 1 species